rnacentral:rRNA from 1 species
GCAAGUCGAACGCUCACCUUCGGGUGGGAGUGGCAGACGGGUGAGUAACACGUGGGAACGUACCCUUUGGUUCGGGACAACUCUGGGAAACUGGAGCUAAUACCGGAUACGCCCUUUUGGGGAAAGGUUUACUGCCGAAGGAUCGGCCCGCGUCUGAUUAGCUAGUUGGUGGGGUAACGGCCUACCAAGGCGACGAUCAGUAGCUGGUCUGAGAGGAUGAUCAGCCACACUGGGACUGAGACACGGCCCAGACUCCUACGGGAGGCAGCAGUGGGGAAUAUUGGACAAUGGGCGCAAGCCUGAUCCAGCCAUGCCGCGUGAGUGAUGAAGGCCUUAGGGUUGUAAAGCUCUUUUAUCCGGGACGAUAAUGACGGUACCGGAGGAAUAAGCCCCGGCUAACUUCGUGCCAGCAGCCGCGGUAAUACGAAGGGGGCUAGCGUUGCUCGGAAUCACUGGGCGUAAAGGGCGCGUAGGCGGCGUUUUAAGUCGGGGGUGAAAGCCUGUGGCUCAACCACAGAAUGGCCUUCGAUACUGGGACGCUUGAGUCUGGUAAGGUUGGUGGAACUGCGAG